AAGCUGGUUUUAGAUUUACCAAACCGUUUUUCACCUGCUUUUCAGCAAAAAGCUGCUGUUGUUGUGUGCAACAGCAACCCCAAACAGUACCAAAAUCAAAUUGCCCCGUAUGAGAAACCAAACAAAUAGCAAAGAGAUUAGCAGUGAAGCAACAGAGUCUUCAUCGUCUACCGUUCCUUCUGUCACUAAUUUCCGGGAAGGGUUUGGUUUGGAGAAGGAAAGAAGAGUGCUUCAUGAACAAGGACUUAAGAUUGCCGAGAAUCAUGAGAACAGCCAGAAGAAUAGACGGAAACUAGCAGAGAGCACCUGAGUGAUUAUGAAAUCCCAACAAGUAUGCUUAGUUUUAUAAAAUUCAAAUCUCCCGAGCAUCAGAGAUGUGCUUGCUGGUAAACAUGGCUUCGGUUUAUGCUGGAGAAAGAUGAAAAAUUGCCUGAGGUAGAGUCUGCAAAUCGUAAAAUGAAGGUUGAGCAGCUUGAGGAAUUUAGAACUGGAGCAACUCCUCUGAAAAAUCAACAAGCAACAAUAGAAUGACUUGAAGAGUGGAUCCGGCAGUUAGAACAAAAGGAAGGUCUUGUAGAUGAAGAUGAAGUAUUCUCCGGGAUAGAUGAACUUGAGAAAGAUGAACCCGAGGCUGAAAAUGUUGAUAGAUGCGAGCCAGAGGAUGCUGAUCUGAAAGACCUCGUAAAUCAGGUUUCCUUGGAUCACAGAGUAAAAAAAUUCAAAGGAGAGAGACAUUAAAUUGGCUGAAAUAGGGUCCGGAAAUCGUAAAUGAAGGUUGAGCUUGAGGAAUAUAGAACUGAAGCGACUCAUCUGAAAAAUCAACAAGCAACAGUAGACUGACUUGAAGAGCCCAUCCGGAAGUUAGAACAUGUUAAUCCUGGACAUGAAUAUCUAUAUAUAACUAAAUAUAAAAGUGACAUUUGCAUUAAUUUGCUGUAAUGUACCUACCAUGGCACACAUGCUAUUUUCUGCUGUAUUACUUGCUGAAUUGUCAGCACAAUGAUUCCUGCACAAACAUGAACCUGAGUUCACGCUCAAGUUAUUUCUCAUAAUCUAGGAUCAUAACUAUCAAAUUGAAACUUUUAAGUAAUUCCUUGUUUUCAAGUAUUUAUACAAGAUGUAUAUCUAAUAAUUUUGUUUUUCUUUCACUCGGCAUCAUUGUGCAUUCCAGCCUUAUGUUACACUUUUACAGUCUAUAUAGUGUGGGCUACUGUCCCAUACCUUUAAUUUACUAAAACCUCUAUGCCACUAGUGUUACUGUAUUUGCUUGUUAAGUUCUGCCUUGCGGUUUAGGGAAUAAAACACUAAACCUUUACAUGGGUUGACAUAGUCAAAUGCAAUAAUAAUUUUCACCAAAUGAAAAUCCAACUAUAUUAGCUAUUUAUGAAUUUGAAAUCUAAUUGGUUGUAUUAUUCUGUUAUGUAGAAGAUAAAUAUACAAAAUCCACAUUGCGGUUAUUGCUGAUCAUGAAAUAUAGAAUCAUUUACAUUUUGGUU